AAGGAAUAUUGGUCAAUGGACGCAAGUCUGAACCAGCCAUGCCGCGUGAAGGAUGAAGGUCCUCUGGAUUGUAAACUUCUUUUAUCUGGGACGAAAACGGGAUUUUUAUCUCAAUUGACGGUACCAGAGGAAUAAGCACCGGCUAACUCCGUGCCAGCAGCCGCGGUAAUACGGAGGGUGCGACCGUUAUCCGGAUUUACUGGGUUUAAAGGGUGCGUAGGUGGGCUUAUAAGUCAGUGGUGAAAUCUCCGAGCUUAACUUGGAAACUGCCGUUGAUACCAGAGGUCUUGAAUUAUCUGGAGGUAAGCGGAAUAUGUCAUGUAGCGGUGAAAUGCUUAGAGAUGACAUAGAACACCAAUUGCGAAGGCAGCUUACUACAUAUAAAUUGACGCUGAGGCACGA
rnacentral:rRNA from 1 species